rnacentral:rRNA from 1 species
AUUGAACGCUGGCGGCAGGCCUAACACAUGCAAGUCGAACGAGUGGCGGACGGGUGAGUAAUGUCUGGGAAAUUGCCUGAGGGAUGGGGUUAAUUACUGGAACCGGAACUAAUAACGCCAUACCUUCGGAUCGGCCCAGAGGGGAUUGGCUAUGAGGUGGGGUAACGGCUCACCUAGGCGACGAUCCCUAGUUGGUCUGAGAGGAUGCCGAGGCAAACUGGAACUGAGACACGGACCAGACUCCUACGGGAGGCAGCAGGGGGGAAUAUUGCACAAUGGGCGCAAGCCUGAGGCAGCCAUGCCGCGUGGAUGAAGAAGGCCUUAGGGUUGUAAAGUACUUUCAGCGGGGAGGCGUUACCCGCAGAAGAAGCACCGGCUAACUCCGUGCCAGCAGCCGCGGUAAUUC